AGUUCAUUGGUCCAACCAGGUCACACGAGCACUGGUAACAACCUAAUAGGCAAAAAAAAAGUACGAUCUGAGUAAAUUAAAUAAAAAAUAAAUAAGUAAUUUCCAAUCUCAUUUCAUCAACAGAAGAAAAAAAUCUAAGGAACAACAACCUUCAGAAAAUAUAUGAAAAAAACGGCAAAAAUAGAAUUUAGUCAAUUAGAUGUCAUCAUCGGUCCUCUGCCGUCAAAUCAUACACGAUAAUGGUCAGAGGACGGACAACAUGACGCGAUUACUGGAUGUGAGCUCAGCACCAACGGCCUUUCCAAGAGAUUAUCGCUACGCGCAUCGUCCUGCGGCUCUUCAGCCAUAAUCCAUGUUGUCACCAAGAUAUGUCUGCGAGAUGGAAGCCGUGCUAGGGCUUUCACAAAAACCUCACUUAUGCUGAGAUUUCGAAAAAGACAAUAAAAAGUGCAUGAAAAAUCUAUUAAAAGAAAAAUUAUACACAUCUAAGCAGUAUACACCGCCGGGCACCGACUGAAUGUACAGCCAUAAACCUGGAGUCAGAAAUUAAACUAAGAUGACACAAAAGGCUUCAAGUCCAGGAGAAGGACAAAGCAGAAGACAACGUGAAACUAAGAAGACAGAAGAGGACAUAUCUGUGGGGGGGUUCCAUGGUCUCUGCAAAAGACCAUGGAAAGAGGAGCCUUAAGGCCCAUGUAAAAUGAUCGGAACCGAAUAUCAUCGGGAUCAUUAGGAUUUCUGUUCACAUAUAAGCAACGGAACAACAAGCUUUCAUAUAAAGAUGGAAGGCUGUGAAAUAUAUCUGUGAAUGAAGAAUUACAUCCCGUUUAUAGGAGACAAUUAGUCAUUUGUACCUGAACCAUAAUUGGGCCUUCAUCCAACCCUACAGUGAUCCCAUAUAAGAGAAACAAACAUAAGUAUUUUGUACCUGAUUGGUGGGAAGACCAUUUAUGCUAAACAUCUUUUUGGACUAUAACUUUUCAGUUAGUCCUGUGUUCAUUAAGAAUACCAGGGCUUUUAAAAUUAAUGUUUCUAAAAGAAAAUGUCCCCCUUCCUUUCGAGUCCCACAGAACUGAGCCCCCGAAAACUAAACAUUGCAGCAUCACUCAGUUUGGACAACCUCUCACCAUGGGGAAUGCAUAGGACACCUGUACAGGAGGACAAAUGUACAACAUGGCACCCACACAUGAGGACAUCUUUAUUCCAAGGCUGCCUUACAUGAGGACACCUGUGCACUGGGAAAUCAUCACGUACAACUGUCUUAGUGUUUGGGUGUUCUCAGGUUGGAGUGCACUGGCAUACAGGAGUUAUCAUGUACGAGUGUCUUGUUGUACAGGUGUACUCAAGUAUAAAUGUCAUGUCAUAUAGAUAUUCUCAUGUACAAGUGUCCUAUUAUAUAAGUGUUAUGUACGAGUGUCCUGUAAUAUAGGUGUUCUCAUGUACGAGUGUCCUGUUAUAUAGGUGUUCUCAUGUACGAGUGUCCUGUUAUAUAGGUGUUCUCAUGUACGACUGUCCUGUUAUAUAGGUGUUCUCAUGUACGAGUGUCCUGUUAUAUAGGUGUUCUCAUGUACGAGUGUCCUGUUAUAUAGGUGUUCUCAUGUACGAGUGUCCUGUUAUAUAGGUGUUCUCAUGUACGAGUGUCCUGUUAUAUAGGUGUUCUCAUGUACGAGUGUCCUGUUAUAUAGGUGUUCUCAUGUACGAGUUUCCGGUUAUAUAGGUGUUCUCAUGUAUGAGUGUCCUGUAAUAUAGUUGUUAUGUACGAGUGUCCUGUUAUAUAGGUGUUCUCAUGUACGAGUGUUCUGUUAUAUAGGUGUUAUGUACGAGUGUCCUGUUAUUUAGGUGUUCUCAUGUACGAGUGUCCUGUUAUAUAGGUGUUCUCAUGAAUCAGGGUCCUGGUGUAGGUGUUCUCAUGUAUGAGUGUUCUGUUAUACAGGUGUUCUCAUGUACGAGUUUCCGGUUAUAUAGGUGUUCUCAUGUACGAGUGUCCUGUUAUAUAGGUGUUCUCAUGUACGAGUGUUCUGUUAUAUAGGUGUUAUGUACGAGUGUCCUGUUAUAUAGGUGUUCUCAUGUAAGAGUGUCCUGUUAUAUAGGUGUUCUCAUGAAUCAGGGUCCUGGUGUAGGUGUUCUCAUGUAUGAGGAUCUUGGUGUAAGUGUUCUCAUGUAUGAGGAUCUUGGUGUAGGUGUUCUCAUGUAUCAGGGUCCUGGUAUAGGUGUUCUCAUGUAUCAGGGUCCUGGUGUAGGUGUUCUCAUGUACGAGUUUCCGGUUAUAUAGGUGUUCUCAUGUAUGAGUGUCCUGUAAUAUAGUUAUGUACGAGUGUCCUGUUAUAUAGGUGUUCUCAUGUACGAGUGUUCUUUUAUAUAGGUGUUAUGUACGAGUGUCCUGUUAUUUAGGUGUUCUCAUGUACGAGUGUCCUGUUAUAUAGGUGUUCUCAUGAAUCAGGGUCCUGGUGUAGGUGUUCUCAUGUAUCAGGGUCCUGGUGUAGGUGUUCUCAUGUACGAGUUUCCGGUUAUAUAGGUGUUCUCAUGUAUGAGUGUCCUGUAAUAUAGUUAUGUACGAGUGUCCUGUUAUAUAGGUGUUCUCAUGUACGAGUGUUCUGUUAUAUAGGUGUUAUGUACGAGUGUCCUGUUAUUUAGGUGUUCUCAUGUACGAGUGUCCUGUUAUAUAGGUGUUCUCAUGAAUCAGGGUCCUGGUGUAGGUGUUCUCAUGUAUCAGGGUCCUGGUGUAGGUGUUCUCAUGUAUCAGGGUCCUGGUGUAGGUGUUCUCAUGUAUGAGGGUCCUGGUGUAGGUGUUCUCAUGUAGCAGGGUCCUGGUGUAGGUGUUCUGAUGUAUCAGGGUCCUGGUGUAGGUGUUCUGAUGUAUCAGGGUCCUGGUGUAGGUGUUCUCAUGUAUCAGGGUCCUGGUGUAGGUGUUCUCAUGUUUUAGGGUCCUUCUCAUGCACAGUUGUCUCAGUGCACAAAUGGUGUCAUGUACAGGUGUCCCAAACUUUGCACAGGCGGUGAGGGGAGAAGGUGAAGUACGGAUUCUCAAAUAGUGAUUAUGACUGAUAACUACUAAUCAAGAAGUCAAUUGGAAACAUACAACAGAUGUCACUCAUCAAGAGAUCACGAUGGAAUCAGGCUGCAAACGUUCUCGUCCUCUGUACAGCUGACAACGUUACAUUAAAAACCCAUGACCCGUCUGACUGAAGGGUUAUAAAAGAAAAAAGGAGUUGUCGAAGGACAAUCCCUUUAAGUCGUUUCCAUAGUAUGUUGCCUAAUAACCACUUUCCUUCCUGUAUGAACGUGACCAAGUCCGGUGCCACCUACAAUAUUUACGGAUAGAAGAAUGUGGAUAGUUGUAGUCUGGACAUUUGUAGAAUAUGCAGGACAUUGUUCCCAGUCGUCUUUGACUGUCGACAUCUGGUCGAAGUUUUUCUCCGAUAAUCUCCAU